UCUGUUGGCCACUAGUAAUAUUAUGUUGCAUUUCUUGAUUAUUGAUGAUAGAAAAUUAGAGAAAUUUGAAUUUAGAAGCGAAUGUGGAUAGAUUUUCUAUAAUUUCUCAACUGUAGAUUAAUCUUUUGGGAUGUGACACUAAAAUCAACUACUCCCUAUGAUUAUAAUAUGCUAUCAUGCUUAGUUUUGUUUUCUGUGCGAAUACAAUUUUCAAUAGAAUAUGUACAAACAUUUAAAAUUUCAUAGUUUCGAAAUAAAAGAAAAUCGAGUGAACUCAGGUUGCAAUUCAAUAGAGAAAUUUUAAGGAUUUCAAGAAUCAAUUUUAUUCCAUAAAAGGGAAAGUCACAGAUCGGAACUGUUUAUUUUACAAUAUUCUUAAAGGUUUUAUUGUCACAAAUUAACAAGAAUAUAUUUUUUCCAUUCUUUUUGUCUCUGUCUAACUUUAGUUGGCACAAUAUAAAAAGUAAAAUCAAAGAAUAUAUCUUAAUCUAUAUGCUAUAAUACUCGUAUAAAAAUUUCUGUCUUUAUGUGCUGUAUAAAAUACCACAAGGACCACACGCUACCCAUGUAAAUCUCAUUCUCCCACCUGUCCUCUUCUUUUUCUUUCCUUGAUCAAAUUUCUCUCUUCCUUUUCACCUUUACGAAGAAUAGCCUCUAACCAUCUCCUCGCCAUCUCCUUCCCCAUCGGCGACAGUCGACACUUGCUAUCGGUGUCCCUAUUUGCGGUUAGCGGUGCCAUGCCGCCAGCAGCUUCUUCUGCAACUUGUGCCGGAGUUAUGUGUCGGUGGCGAGGCAGAAGAAGCUGCUGGCAGCACGGGGCCGCCUAUCGCUCGGUGGCUCCUCCUCAACCACGAUCCGUUUCUGCCCUUCUUCCCCUCUUUUCCUUUUGUCCUUUCUUUUAUAUUCACUUCUUGGAUUUCAUUUAUAAAAGAAGAAUACCGAUGAAUGGCUUUGAACAGAUUACCAGACGUGCCAUGCAUGAGCGGAAGAUUAUGUGGUUAUUGCUUUCAAGUUCAUUGGGUCCUGUUCCUUCUUUGACCGGGUAAUGAAAAUAAUUUUCGUUUCAGCGAAGAUCUUCUUCUUCUUUAGCAACGAUGGCGACGGUUUCUUCCCUUGUCAUUUAUAGGCUUUAUUUUCUCUUUUCUCUGUUUCUUUCUGGAUAUCAUUGAAGGUGAAGGCCGCCUCUGACAUUAGGUUAAACUGUUUAUGUUCUUUCGACCUAGGUGUAUGUUUGUGUUCUUUCGCCUCUGAUACGCUCUUCUUUUUACGAUAUUUUUUCGGAUUUCAUAUUCAUAUCGAUGAAGGCCAGUUUCAUAUUCA